UAGGGAAUCUUCGGCAAUGGACGAAAGUCUGACCGAGCAACGCCGCGUGAGUGAAGAAGGUUUUCGGAUCGUAAAACUCUGUUGUUAGAGAAGAACAAGGACGUUAGUAACUGAACGUCCCCUGACGGUAUCUAACCAGAAAGCCACGGCUAACUACGUGCCAGCAGCCGCGGUAAUACGUAGGUGGCAAGCGUUGUCCGGAUUUAUUGGGCGUAAAGCGAGCGCAGGCGGUUUCUUAAGUCUGAUGUGAAAGCCCCCGGCUCAACCGGGGAGGGUCAUUGGAAACUGGGAGACUUGAGUGCAGAAGAGGGGAGUGGAAUUCCAUGUGUGGCGGUGAAAUGCGUAGAUAUAUGGGGGAACACCAGUGGCGAAGGCGGCUCUCUGGUCUGUAACUGACGCUGAGGCUCGAAAGCGUGGGGAGCAAACAGG
rnacentral:rRNA from 1 species